AUGGUAUUAUGCUGACCUCUGGGAUCACUGAAGAGGUCAGACUAUCUGAACUGUUCUGAAUUCGCAGGUAAAGGGAAGAAGAGCAAUGGCUUUAUUUAAUGUACUUGCCUUCAUCAUGCCCGUACAACAGAAACCUCACUGCCUACAGACUUAAAUGAGAAAUGUAUGGAGGUGACUUCUGCCUCAUGCUCUUGUCAGGAAUUGCGUUGACUGCUGUCAGAAACCACUAGCAAUGGCUUAAAAUAUUGCAUCAUCUUACAGUCUUUGCCUUUAAUGAAAGAAGAUUAAAGACUGAGAAAGACUAAGAGAAAUGUUUUAUGAACAUCUUGAGAAAGACAUGAAAGCAGCAGUAAGCAGAAAGAAGUCCACUGGAAGUCAGAGUGUGCUGGAGUCAGUAAGGAGAACUGGGGCCUGAUUGCUGAAAGCGUGCAACACGUGGGAGGAACAUGAAGGCUGUUUUGGCACGAGCAUUAAGCCAUUACUCUGUAUUAUUACAUGCACUGUAAGUAGAGUCCACUGAAUGCUCAUAAAGUAUUGUGUGCCUAAAUAGUUGUAAUGCUCUCCU
rnacentral:lncRNA from 1 species